GAUGAACGCUAGCGGCAGGCCUAAUACAUGCAAGUCAAGGGGAUAGCAAUAUCACCGGCGGACGGGUGCGUAACGCGUACACAACGUGCCCAAGGGCGGAGGAAAGCGGCGGGAAACUGCCGGUAAUACUCCAUGGUGUUGUUGAGUGGCAUCACUUAACAACUAAAGUACAAGCGCCCUUGGAUCGGUGUGCGUUCGAUUAGCUAGUUGGCGGGGUAACGCCCACAAGGCUUCGAUCGAUAGGGGGUNUGAGAGCAUGACCCCCCANACGGGUACUGAGACACGGACCCGACUCCUACGGGAGGCAGCAGUAAGGAACUAUU
rnacentral:rRNA from 1 species